GACGAAGGUGGCGACCGUUGUUCGGAAUCACUGGGCAUAAAGAGCACGUAGGCGGCAAGGUAUGUCGGGUGUGAAAUCCCUCGGCCCAACCGAGGAAUUGCGCCCGAAACUACCUUGCUUGAGGAUGGAAGGGGAGCGUGGAAUUCCUGGUGGGGCGGUGAAAUGCGUUGAUAUCAGGAGGAACACCGGCGGCGAAGGCGACGCUCUGGUCCAUUUCUGACGCUGAGGUGCGAAAGCCAGGGGAGCAAACGGG
rnacentral:rRNA from 1 species